AUUUCCUGUUGUGCUUGUGCGUUUGUUUUGCACCGCAUGUUGUUUCCCCUGUGUUUGGGACACUUUAUUUUGUGUGCGCAUUAUUUCACUGUUUGGGGUGGCUUGUGUGUGCUCGCCUGUUUGAACCAUUAAAUAGCCACUUCCCUGUGCUCGCUGCUUCCUGCGUUUGAUUCCUCACUCACGACGCCCGAGCCUUACACACCCAAGGAUGAACCAGACUUGUGGAGGUCUACAAUUUUCUUUCUGAGGUCUUGGCUGUUUUCUUUUGAUUUUCCCAUGAUGUCAAGCAAAGACACACUGAGUUUGAAGGUGAUUGAGCUGCCAGUGCGAACCAACUAUAUCACUCGGCAGAUCUAUGAAAAUUGAUUAAUCACCAAGCCCGUGCCUGGAAUCGGCUUGGGGGGGCAUCCUGACCUUCGGCUGCAUCUGCAUCCAGCACUUCUUCAUCCUCAACAGCAUCUGAUAAGAACAAGGGUCAAGUCUGCUACUCAACCAUGAGCCUGAAUUUGCCUAGUGGUGCUCGUAUAAUGAUUCCUAAAGAAACAAACAAGAGGCUGCCGAGGGGAGGACGGCUUACAAUAAUAUCCGGAACGGAGUGAAUGGAAUGUCAUCAAACACAUGGAAACUAUGGAUAUGUCCGAAUACCCGUACUUGGGUUCUAAAUAGUAGCCAUUUGGGGUAUGCAAAUUGUUUUAUUUAUUAUUGUACGUGAAAUUUAACAAAUGUAGUAUGAUUUAAACGCCAAGAUGUCAUACUCAUUUAUGCUUUUAUGUAGUAGAAUUUUCUGCACACUAUUGAGGAACAGAAUUAUCUUUCCUGACACCUGUGUCUGACAACAGCUGAUAAUCAGCUGAGGGGACACGCUGUAGAAAAAUGUGUGAAUCUGUGUAAAUCAACGCAAUUGCGCAUUGUAUGAUGUAUACUCAGUAGGAUGAGCCUAGUAUGCUGAUAUUUGUUUCUUACUGCAUUUGUUUUUACUAAACAGUACAUUCUAAAUAGUGUGUAGUAUGAUUAGUACACAGUAUGUAGUUUAAGUAAGUAGUAGGCAAAACAGAUUUCGGACACAGCCCAUGUGUUUGAUGUAUUUGAUACAAUUCCACUCUUUCCGCUCCAGCCAUUACCACGAGCCCUUCCUCCCUAAUUAAAAUCAUCAUGAGUCUAUUGACGCACGCAUGCAGUCUGUUUAAGCUAGAGAUAUCUGUUUUUUGGCAUGGGCUGCAUCUCAAUCCUCCGCAUCCGCCUAUUUCAGCCUGACGCAUCUGCGGGGACAGGUGGCAGAGCUAGAGCAAUGUCUAUCAGACCAUGAGACAUCCCGUAAAUCGGGUCUUCUCACGAAAAACGCUGUAGCGUCCAAACAGUUUGACGGGAUAUGUCUGAAGGUAACCCAUACAAACGAAUGGAGGUAGUUUUGUGCCAACAAAAAUAAGGGGUUAAAUAUGUGUUUUGAAAAAAAUAUAGAUAUAUACAGCACCACUCAACAUUUUGGAC
rnacentral:lncRNA from 1 species